rnacentral:rRNA from 1 species
UACGGGGGGGGCAAGCGUUGUUCGGAAUUACUGGGCGUAAAGGGCUCGUAGGCGGCCAACUAAGUCGGACGUGAAAUCCCUCGGCUUAACCGGGGAACUGCGUCCGAUACUGGAUGGCUGGAGGUUGGGAGAGGGAUGCGGAAUUCCGGGUGUAGCGGUGAAAUGCGUAGAUAUCCGGAGGAGCACCGGUGGCGAAGGCGGCUUCCUGGACCGACACUGACGCUGAGGCGCGAAAGCUAGGGGAGCAAACGGG